rnacentral:lncRNA from 1 species
UGGACUCUGACCAAUCCGGGCCAGGACAAACUACUAGCAACACAACAAUCUGGGAUCUGAGAUCGGAUGACAGAGUGCUCACUACCAGAAAACCACAGUGGCACACACUUGCUGGUGGCAGAUGUCUGGCCUGCCACAUUAUGUCACGGAAGAGCAACAAGACAACCGGCGUGUCCAAUAUCCAGGUGUCCAACCUGGGCGGCACUCAGACAAUUCCAAGCCUCCUUCUACUGGACCCCUGGGCACCAUCAGUGUGCUGUGAUAAUGAUUUCAUCACCUGGCCACAGUCAUGCAGCUGCACUGUACAGAGACGCAGUAAGUAACACCACUGUGGUGCACUGCUAACCCUCAGCUAACCCUAAUUGUAACCAUAAACGUCAACUUGUAACUUUUACCCUAAACCUAACCGCUAUCCCAAAAUUAGCCUUUUUCCUCAUGGGGAACUGGUAAAACGUCCCCAACGAGGUAAAACGUUCUCGUUUCACUGUCUUGGUGGACACAGA